CCCGGGGCGCGAGCCCGGGCGGAGCGGCCGUCGGUGCAGAUCUUGGUGGUAGUAGCAAAUAUUCAAAUGAGAACUUUGAAGGCCGAAGAGGAGAAAGGUACCAUGUGAACGGCACUUGCACAUGGGUAAGCCGAUCCUAAGGGACGGGGUAACCCCGGCAGAUAGCGCGAUCACGCGCAUCCCCCGAAAGGGAAUCGGGUUAAGAUUUCCCGAGCCGGGAUGUGGCGGUUG
rnacentral:ncRNA from 1 species